rnacentral:rRNA from 1 species
GCUCGAUGAGUAGGGCGGGACACGUGGUAUCCUGUCUGAAUAUGGGGGGACCAUCCUCCAAGGCUAAAUACUCCUGACUGACCGAUAGUGAACCAGUACCGUGAGGGAAAGGCGAAAAGAACCCCGGCGAGGGGAGUGAAAAAGAACCUGAAACCGUGUACGUACAAGCAGUGGGAGCCUCUUUAUGGGGUGACUGCGUACCUUUUGUAUAAUGGGUCAGCGACUUAUAUUCUGUAGCAAGGUUAACCGAAUAGGGGAGCCGAAGGGAAACCGAGUCUUAACUGGGCGUUAAGUUGCAGGGUAUAGACCCGAAACCCGGUGAUCUAGCCAUGGGCAGGUUGAAGGUUGGGUAACACUAACUGGAGGACCGAACCGACUAAUGUUGAAAAAUUAGCGGAUGACUUGUGGCUGGGGGUGAAAGGCCAAUCAAACCGGGAGAUAGCUGGUUCUCCCCGAAAGCUAUUUAGGUAGCGCCUCGUGAAUUCAUCUCCGGGGGUAGAGCACUGUUUCGGCAAGGGGGUCAUCCCGACUUACCAACCCGAUGCAAACUGCGAAUACCGGAGAAUGUUAUCACGGGAGACACACGGCGGGUGCUAACGUCCGUCGUGAAGAGGGAAACAACCCAGACCGCCAGCUAAGGUCCCAAAGUCAUGGUUAAGUGGGAAACGAUGUGGGAAGGCCCAGACAGCCAGGAUGUUGGCUUAGAAGCAGCCAUCAUUUAAAGAAAGCGUAAUAGCUCACUGGUCGAGUCGGCCUGCGCGGAAGAUGUAACGGGGCUAAACCAUGCACCGAAGCUGCGGCAGCGACGCUUAUGCGUUGUUGGGUAGGGGAGCGUUCUG